rnacentral:lncRNA from 1 species
UUUGAGUACUCUGCAGAGUUUUGCACACGUUCCCGACAAGAUUUGAUCGCCUCCGUGUAUGUCCUCGCACUUCACGGUGUUUGAAUACCGGAUGAUCAAAACAUGGUCUUUCAACGGGUCCCUCUGAAUCCCUGUCGGUGCCCAUCCACUCCUACCAUUCUUCUACAUCUGCUAGCACCGCCUGUCCAGAGUCGCCGCGUUGUCCAACCAAGCCAGAGCCCAUAAUGACUUGUGGCUGUGCAGGUA